AAGGACUUAGGAUAGAAAAUAGACCUAAAGCCUUCAAAGCUUUAAGCAGGAGUGAAAAACUUCUAGUCCUUG
rnacentral:tRNA from 1 species